rnacentral:rRNA from 1 species
AUUGAACGCUGGCGGCAGGCUUAACACAUGCAAGUCGAGCGGGGGAAGGUAGCUUGCUACCGGACCUAGCGGCGGACGGGUGAGUAAUGCUUAGGAAUCUGCCUAUUAGUGGGGGACAACAUCUCGAAAGGGAUGCUAAUACCGCAUACGUCCUACGGGAGAAAGCAGGGGAUCUUCGGACCUUGCGCUAAUAGAUGAGCCUAAGUCGGAUUAGCUAGUUGGUGGGGUAAAGGCCUACCAAGGCGACGAUCUGUAGCGGGUCUGAGAGGAUGAUCCGACACACUGGGACUGAGACACGGCCCAGACUCCUACAGGAGGCAGCAGUGGGGAAUAUUGGACAAUGGGGGGAACCCUGAUCCAGCCAUGCCGCGUGUGUGAAGAAGGCCUUAUGGUUGUAAAGCACUUUAAGCGAGGAGGAGGCUACUUUAGUUAAUACCUAGAGAUAGUGGACGUUACUCGCAGAAUAAGCACCGGCUAACUCUGUGCCAGCCGCCGCCGUAA